CCUACGGGGGGCAGCAGUGGGGAAUAUUGGACAAUGGGGGGAACCCUGAUCCAGCGACGCCGCGUGAGUGAAUAAGUAUUUCGGUAUGUAAAGCUCUAUCAGCAUGGAAGAAAGAAAUGACGGUACCUGACUAAGAAGCCCCGGCUAACUACGUGCCAGCAGCCGCGGUAAUACGUAGGGGGCAAGCGUUAUCCGGAUUUAUUGGGGUUAAGGGGGGCGUAGGCGGGCUGUUCAGUCGGCGGUAAAAGCCCGGGGCUAACCCCCGGCGAGCCGAUGAAACUGGCUGUCUUGAGAUGUCGAGAGGUAUGCGGAAUGCGCGGUGUAGCGGUGAAAUGCUUAGAUAUUGCGCAGAACUCCGAUUGCGAAGGCAGCAUACCGGCGGCGAUCUGACGCUGAGGCACGAAAGCGUGGGUAUCGAACAGGAUUAGAUACCCCUGUAGUC
rnacentral:rRNA from 1 species